CUACGGAGGAUGCGAGCGUUAUCCGGAUUUAUUGGGUUUAAAGGGUGCGCAGGCGGCCAUUUAAGUCAGCGGUUAAAUCGUGGGGCUCAACCCCAUUCUGCCGUUGAUACUGGGUGGCUUGAUUGGGGUCGAGGUUGGCGGAAUUCGUUGUGUAGGGGGUAAAUGGAUAGAUAUGACGAAGAAACCCGAUUGCGUAGGCAGCUGACCAGACCGCAAAUGACGCUCAUGCACGAAAGUGCGGGGAUCGAACAGGAUUAGAUACCCUGGUAGUCCGCACAGUAAACGAUGAAUACUUGUUUUCGGCGAUAUAAUGUCGGAGGCAAAGCGAAAGCGAUAAGUAUUCCACCUGGGGAGUACGCCGGCAACGGUGAAACUCAAAGGAAUUGACGGGG
rnacentral:rRNA from 1 species